AGCGCAGGCGGGAGGCCAAGUCCAUCCUAAAAGUUCGGGGCUCAACCCCGUGAGGGGAUGGAAACUGGUCUUCUUGAGUGCAGGAGAGGAAAGCGGAAUUCCUAGUGUAGCGGUGAAAUGCGUAGAUAUCAGGAGGAACACCAGUGGCGAAGGCGGCUUUCUGGACUGUAACUGACGCUGAGGCUCGAAAGCCAGGGGAGCAACG
rnacentral:rRNA from 1 species